GGAUGUACAAGUGCUCCUAUUUACAGUCUCACGAUACAAUAUGUCCAAAAACAAGAUAUAUGUGCAACCUCAGUGUGAGAUUUCUUCUAUUUGCGCUAUGGCGAGGAGUCAGGAUCUUAACAUAGAUAGUUGAUCGAAUUCAUUGUUUACUUUUCCUAAACGAUAUACAUAAAUUAUUAUAUAUUGUUAUACACAUCAUAAUAAUAUGCAAGCCAAGCUACUUUGCAGCUCUGAAUAAAAUGCAGUUCAUUGUAAUAUGCAAGUCUUUACUUAAUUCCAAAUGAAUCUGUCAUUCGAUCUAGUUCCUCCACCAAAGCUUAAUGAAUCCCUCUUUUUCCCGAUCCAGUUCCUCCACCAAACACAGACUCCAAUUAAAUUCAGGCAUGUUCUGUCCUGACUCAAGUUCAGCCAAUUGGGUUGGCAAAUCAAAUAUGGAACUGAGUUGUCUUCUCUACAACUGACUCAGUGGAUACUUAUGAGCAAAUGAGAAAAGGUCAAACCAUUUCACUGCCAAUCCAGAAACAUUUAGUUUAAACCCCUCUUUGCUCAUUUAGCAAAUCAGAAGUUGCCAUAUAUAUGUAGUCCUUGUCCCUGCCUGUCAUCUGCAAAAUGGAGUCAAGCUAACUCAAACUGCACAUUUGGAUAGAGCAUUAGGAAUUAGGUACUGCAAAUAAAUGAGUGUAAGAAAUGGAUACAAGAGAAAAAUACCAUGCCAUGUGAUGUUUACCUUCUCGAGUUUAUGUUUGUAAUAAAUGAUUGCUGCAAGGCAUAUAAACCAGUAUUUGACUUGACUCCCCCAUCAAACAGCAUUGCACAAAACAACUUGAACAGUGCAAUUGCCAAACAUGUUUGGUCUCAAAAUAUUUGGCAGACAAAUGGUGAUUAUGCGAUACGAUCU
rnacentral:lncRNA from 1 species